CCUACGGGAGGCAGCAGUGAGGAAUAUUGGUCAAUGGACGAGAGUCUGAACCAGCCAAGUAGCGUGAAGGAUGACUGCCCUAUGGGUUGUAAACUUCUUUUAUAUGGGAAUAACAUGUUCCACGUGUGGGAUUUUGUAUGUACCAUAUGAAUAAUGAUCGGCUAACUCCGUGCCAGCAGCCGCGGUAAUACGGAGGAUCCGAGCGUUAUCCGGAUUUAUUGGGUUUAAAGGGAGCGUCGGUGGAUUGUUAAGUCAGUUGUGAAAGUUUGGGGCUCAACCGUAAAAUUGCAGUUGAAACUGGCAGUCUUGAGUACAGUAGAGGUGGGCGGAAUUCGUGGUGUAGCGGUGAAAUGCUUAGAUAUCACGAAGAACUCCGAUUGCGAAGGCAGUUCACUGGACUGCAACUGACACUGAGGCUCGAAAGUGUGGGUAUCAAACAGGAUUAGAUACCCCAGUAGUC
rnacentral:rRNA from 1 species